AGGCUGGAGCUGUGGGCAGCCAUUUUGCCCCCUUGGAGCGAGAGCCUGUUUGACAAUGCAGCCAACCCAGAGAAACUGGGUCCUGCUGGACUUGCAUGAGCCUCACAUGCCUGGGAAGCCAGCAUUACCUCUGGAUUCUUCAGUUAUUCAGGUGACUGAGUCUCAUUGGUCAUGUUGCCUCCAGAUCUCCAACCCCCUUUAAGGACUUUUGGCUACAGAUUUGAUGAGUCCAAGUCAUUAGGAAAAAGGCUGAACAAGACAGGACCAAUGAUUGGUCCUUACAGCAUGUGGAAACUUCUCUGCAAGUUGUCAGAUUGAUAAGCCGGCACACAAUGCACAUGCUUUUUCACUCAGUCACUUGUACCUCCAGCAGGACUCUCCCCCAUUCCUUCUGCUAUCUUUCCCACAAAGACUGGAAAAGAUACUGCUUGCCUGAAUUUCAGCAAGUAUUGCGAUAUACCUGUAUUGCUCUUACUGUAGAGCCUGCUAUCCAGUCCCCAGAGAAGACAAUGUAAGUCAAGCAGAGCCUAUUCUUCAUGGAAUCGGAAUAAACCGAUCACUGUAUCCUUUUGCAAGUACUCACAAAUUAUCUUUUUAAUAGCUUUUUCUAGAAGCUAACUUACUCUAUUAGAGUUUGCAAAAUCUCCCUUGCACACUUUAUUAGGAAAAUAGAACUCAAAGAGAUUCUUAAGUAAAAAAAGUAUGAUUGAUUGGAAGAUGCUAGAUGGGGGCAAUUAGAAAGUACAUGUUUAAGUAAUCUGUGAUAAGAAUGGAUGUUUUAUAUUGUCUUUGAAUCUCUUAGCUAGUUGAAUUACACAGAGUAAGUUCAG